UACGGGGGGAGCAAGCGUUGUUCGGAUUUACUGGGCGUAAAGGGCGCGUAGGCGGUCAGCACAAGUCAGUUGUGAAAUCUCCGGGCUUAACUCGGAAAGGUCAACUGAUACUGUGCGACUAGAGUGCGGAAGGGGCAACUGGAAUUCUCGGUGUAGCGGUGAAAUGCGUAGAUAUUGGGAAGAACACCGAUGGCGAAGGCAGCCAUCUGGACCGACACUGACGCUGAGGCGCGAAAGCGUGGGGAGCAAACAGG
rnacentral:rRNA from 1 species